rnacentral:rRNA from 1 species
UGUGCCAGCCGCCGCGGUAAUACAGAGGGUGCAAGCGUUAAUCGGAUUUACUGGGCGUAAAGCGUGCGUAGGCGGCUAUUUAAGUCGGAUGUGAAAGCCCUGGGCUCAACCUGGGAACUGCAUUCGAUACUGGGUAGCUAGAGAUCGGUAGAGGGCGGCGGAAUUCCGGGUGUAGCGGUGAAAUGCGUAGAUAUCCGGAGGAACACCGAUGGCGAAGGCAACCGCCUGGGCCUGAUCUGACGCUGAGGCACGAAAGCGUGGGGAGCAAACAGGAUUAGAUACC